AGGGCAGACGGUGGAUGCCUUGGCUCUCGGAGGCGACGAAGGACGUGAUAAGCUGCGAAAAGCCCGGUUGAGGUGCAAAUAACCCUUGACGCCGGGAUAUCCGAAUGGGGAAACCCGAUUGGUGGAAGACCAAUCACAUCGAAAGAUGAGCGAACGUGGGGAACUGAAACAUCUAAGUACCCAUAGGAAGAGAAAAUAAUAAUGAUUGCGUAAGUAGUGGCGAGCGAACGCGCAAGAGCCCAAACCAUAGAUGUUUUGGCAUCAUAUGGGGUUGUAGGAUCGCAAUGUGGCAAGAAACAAAAGAAGUGGAACCCGCUGGAAAGAGGGCCAUAGAGGGUGAAAGUCCCGUACACGAAUCUUUUGUGAAGCCUAGCGAUAUCCUGAGUAAGUCGGGACACGUGAAAUCCUGACCGAAUCUGCGGGGACCAUCCCGUAAGGCUAAAUACUCCCGAGAGACCGAUAGUGAACCAGUACCGUGAGGGAAAGGUGAAAAGAACCUCGAAUAGAGGAGUGAAAUAGACCCUGAACCCGUCUGCCUACAAGCGGUCGGAGCACCUUUAAGGUGUGACGGCGUGCCUUUUGCAUAAUGAACCUGCGAGUUGUUUUUUUUGGCAAGGUUAAGCAUCAGUAGGUGCGCAGCCGAAGCGAAAGCGAGUCUGAAUAGGGCGACUAAGUCAAAAGGAGCAGACGCGAAACCAAGUGAUCUACCGAUGGCCAGGCUGAAGGUUGGGUAACACCAACUGGAGGGCCGAAUGGAUAUACGUUGAAAAGUGUUCCAAUGAGCUGUGGGUAGGGGUGAAAGGCUAAUCAAACUUGGAGAUAGCUCGUACUCCCCGAAAUGCAUUUAGGUGCAGCCUCGGGUAAGGUACUGAUGAGAGGUAGAGCGACUGAUUGGAUGCGAGGGCUUCACCGCCUAUCAAGUCCGGCCAAACUCCGAAUGCUCAUCAGCAACAUCUCGGGAGUGAGGGCAUGGGUGCUAAGGUCCAUGUCCGAGAGGAGAAGAAUCCAGAUCACCGGCUAAGGUCCCCAAAUAGCAGCUAAGUUGCAUUAACGAAGUCCGACCGCAGCGACAGCCAGGAUGUUGGCUUGGAAGCAGCCAUUCAUUUAAAGAGUGCGUAACAGCUCACUGGUCGAGGGGUCGGGCAUGGAUAAUAAUCGGGCAUAAGCUGUUUACCGAAGCCGUGAGAUCGAAAAGAUCGGUAGGGGAGCAUUCCAUUACAGCGUUGAAGAUAAGGGGUGACCCUUGUUGGAGCGGAUGGAAAAGCAAAUGCAGGUAUAAGUAACGAUAAAGGGGGUGAAAAACCUCCUCGCCGAAAGACCAAGGGUUCCUGAUCAACGCUAAUCGGAUCAGGGUUAGUCGGGACCUAAGGCUAAGCCGAAGGGCGAUGCCAAUGGAAGAACCGGUUAAUAUUCCGGUACUGCUUUGUGGAGUGAUGUGGAGACGGAGAAGUGACAGCUCGGCCAUCUGACGGAAUAGGUGGUUAAAGGGUGUAGACGUUGAUUGUUGUAGGCAAAUCCGCAACAAGAGUUGAACCUGACAGUAUGCAGCGUACUUGUACAAUGUAAUAAGAGCGUAAUCAGGCUCCCAAGAAAACCCGCUAAACAUAUCUUCAAAGCACCCGUACUCGAAACGGACACACGUGGUCGGGUUGAAAAUACUAAGGCGCUCGAGUGAUUCACGGUUAAGGAACUAGGCAAAAUGGUCCUGUAACUUCGGGAUAAAGGACGCCAAUAGCAAUAUUGGUCGCAGAGAAUAGGCCCAGGCGACUGUUUAACAAAAACACAUGACUAUGCGAAAUCGAAAGAUGAGGUAUAUGGUCUGACACCUGCCCGGUGCUGGAAGGUUAAGAGGAGAUGUCAUCCUGCAAGGGAGAAGCAUUGAAUUGAAGCCCCAGUAAACGGCGGCCGUAACUAUAACGGUCCUAAGGUAGCGAAAUUCCUUGUCGGGUAAGUUCCGACCUGCACGAAUGGUGUAACGAUCUGGGCACUGUCUCAACUGUGAGCUCGGUGAAAUUGUAGUAUCGGUGAAGAUGCCGAUUACCCGCGAUGGGACGAAAAGACCCCGUGAACCUUUACUAUAGCUUUACAUUGAAAUUGGGCAUGCGAUGUGUAGGAUAGGCCGGAGGCUGAGAGACGGUGACGCCAGUCAUCGUGGAGCCACUGUUGAAAUACGGCCCUUUGUGUGUUUGGUUUCUAACUCCCGUGUUAGAGAGGACGGUGUAUGGUGGGUAGUUUGACUGGGGUGGUCGCCUCCAAAAGCGUAACGGAGGCUUCU
rnacentral:rRNA from 1 species